UACGAGGGGUCCUAGCGUUGUUCGGAAUUACUGGGCGUAAAGCGCAUGUAGGUGGCUUGGCAAGUCAGGUGUGAAAGCCUCGGGCUCAACCCGAGAAGUGCAUUUGAUACUGCUGAGCUUGAGUAUGGGAGAGGGUAGUAGAAUUCCUGGUGUAGUGGUGAAAUACGUAGAUAUCAGGAGGAAUACCGGUGGCGAAGGCGGCUACCUGGCCCAAUACUGACACUGAGAUGCGAAAGCGUGGGGAUCAAACAGG
rnacentral:rRNA from 2 species